rnacentral:rRNA from 1 species
UUCUGUGGUGAUGGCAGUUACAUUGGUGUUCAUAUCAUGUGAGUGCAUAGUCUGUCAGCUUGGUUAGUACUUGGAUGGGAGACCGCCUGGGAAUACUAGGUGCUGUAGGCU